CAUGAAGUUACACCCCUAACGGAGACCUGAGCUAGGAACACAGCUUCCUUCAAGGUCUCCUAUGGUCUACAAAAGAACUAGAUGCACACAUCCCAGCAGGGGUUUUGGGGAAAUCACUGGUGUGAUUAAGGAUUUUGAGAUGGGAAAAUUCUUCUGACCAGGCCCUUCUAAGUGGGAAGCAAUAGAGCUGGGGAGGAGCCACUGGGGAGAUGAGAGGUUUGGAGGUGCUGCCUGCUCCUGAAGAAAAAGAUGGAAGUUCAUGAGCCAAGAGAUAAGGACAGUCCACACAGCUAGGGCAACAGGAAAAUGGACUUGAGAACCUGCAGAAGAAAGCAGCCCACCAACAGCUUGAUUUUCAGAUUUGUGACCUCCAGAAGAGAAUUAACUUUUACUUUAAGCACCGUGGUGAGAUUGUUCUCUACAACAGCAAACAGCUCAGUAAGCCUGGCUUAAUAAUUUGUACCCUGAGAUCUGUUUAUUACUCAGCCUUGCUUUCCCAUUGGCUCUCACAGUGGUGAUCCCAAGGGUGACCAUCUGAGAGCUUAUUAAAGCAUGGGCUGCUGGGCUUCAGUAUGAGUUGAUUGUUCUGUUAGCUGGGGUAUGUCUAAAGAGUGUGCAUUUAUGAUACGUUUUGGUGUAAGUGAUUCACAAACCAGAAUUUGAGAAGGUAGGAACAAACAUUUCCAGUUUCAGGUCUGUAGCACUGGGAGCAACCUGUUGCCCUUGGCCUCUCCUCACCCACCAGUCCCCCCAGUAACAGGGGUUCACCCUGUUUUCUACCAACACCCUAACCUUGGCUCCUAGACACAAGUUUCUCCUGGCUUUUGUUUUUCUCAUUCUGCCUCACAGUCAACUAAUGAAAGGCCUAGACUUCCCUAUAGCAUUGCUACUAGAGGAAGUAUGCCUUGAUUCCUCAUCCUUGUGUGGAGGCUAGACACAGAUGCUGGGUAGUGGUGGCCACACAGUGUCCUGCAGACCUCUCUUCAUGCUAUUUCUUCACCUUCC
rnacentral:lncRNA from 1 species